rnacentral:rRNA from 1 species
GUCGAGAAGCUUCGGCAAUGGGCGAAAGCCUGACCGAGCGACGCCGCGUGAGCGAUGAAGGCCUUAUUGGUUGUAAAGCUCUGUCAGAUUGGGGAUAAAUACCGGGGAUUAAUACCCCCCGGCGCUGAAGGUACCAUCAGAGGAAGCACCGGCUAACUCCGUGCCAGCAGCCGCGGUAAUACGGAGGGUGCGAGCGUUGUUCGGAUUCACUGGGUAUAAAGGGUGCGUAGGCGGUCUGGUAAGUCAGAGGUGAAAUGUGUCGGCUCAACCGGCAGAUUGCCUCUGAAACUGCGAGGCUUGAGUCCGGAAGAGGAAGGUGGAAUUCCUGGUGUAGCGGUGAAAUGCGUAAAUAUCAGGAGGAAUACCGGUGGCGAAGGCGGCCUUCUGGUCCGGAACUGACGCUGAGGCACGAAAGCUAGGGGAGCGAACGGGAUUAGAAACCCCAGUAGUCC